rnacentral:rRNA from 1 species
UUUGAACGCUGGCGGCAGGCUUAACACAUGCAAGUCGAGCGGAGAUGAGGUGCUUGCACCUUAUCUUAGCGGCGGACGGGUGAGUAAUGCUUAGGAAUCUGCCUAUUAGUGGGGGACAACAUUCCGAAAGGAAUGCUAAUACCGCAUACGUCCUACGGGAGAAGGCAGGGGAUCUUCGGACCUUGCGCUAAUAGAUGAGCCUAAGUCGGAUUAGCUAGUUGGUGGGGUAAAGGCCUACCAAGGCGACGAUCUGUAGCGGGUCGGAGAGGAUGAUCCGCAACACUGGGACUGAGACACGGCCCAGACUCCUACGGGAGGCAGCAGUGGGGAAUAUUGGACAAUGGGGGGAACCCUGAUCCAGCCAUGCCGCGUGUGUGAAGAAGGCCUUAUGGUUGUAAAGCACUUUAAGCGAGGAGGAGGCUACUGAGACUAAUACUCUUGGAUAGUGGACGUUACUCGCAGAAUAAGCACCGGCUAACUCUGUGCCAGCCGCCGCAGUAAAAC